GCAACCGUAGCUUAAAUAAAGCAUAACACUGAAGAUGUUAAGAUGAACUGUAAAAAGCUCCGGGAGCA
rnacentral:tRNA from 1 species